rnacentral:rRNA from 1 species
CCUACGGGAGGCAGCAGUAGGGAAUCUUCCACAAUGGGCGCAAGCCUGAUGCAGCAACGCCGCGUGGGUGAAGAAGGUCUUCGGAUCGUAAAACUCUGUUGUUAGAGAAGAAAAUGCGUGAGCGUAACUCUUCACGUUUCGAUGGUAUCUAACCAGAAAGCCACUGCUAACUACGUUCCAGCAGCCGCGGUAAUACGUAGGUGGCAAGCGUUAGCCGGAUUUAUUGGGUGUAAAGGGAACGCAGGUGGUCUUUUAAGUCUGAUGUGAAAUCCUUCGGCUUAACCGGAGUAGUGCAUUGGAAACUGGAAGACUUGAGUGCAGAAGAGGAGAGUGGAACUCCAGGUGUAGCGGUGAAAUGCGUAGAUAUAUGGAAGAACACCAGUGGCGAAGGCGGGUCUCUGGUCUGUAACUGACGCUGAGAUUCGAAAGCGUGGGUAGCAAACAGGAUUAGAUACCCGAGUAGUC